GGGCUGUUGGUCUAGAGGUAUGAUUCUCGCUUUGGGGUUUCUUCAAACAAAUUUGCCUCUGCGAGAGGUCCCGGGUUCAAUCCCCGGACAGCCCC